rnacentral:rRNA from 1 species
UACGUAGGGUGCAAGCGUUAAUCGGAAUUACUGGGCGUAAAGCGUGCGCAGGCGGUUUUGUAAGUCUGUCGUGAAAGCCCCGGGCUCAACCUGGGAAUUGCGAUGGAGACUGCAAGCCUUGAAUCUGGCAGAGGGGGGUAGAAUUCCACGUGUAGCAGUGAAAUGCGUAGAGAUGUGGAGGAACACCGGUGGCGAAGGCGGCCUCCUGGCUUAAUACUGACGCUGAGGUGCGAAAGCGUGGGGAGCAAACAGG